GUGAACGCUGGCGGUAGGCCUAACACAUGCAAGUCGGACGGCAGCACAGUAAGAGUUUGCUCUUACGGGUGGGGAGUGGCGGACGGGUGAGGAAUACAUCGGAAUCUACUUUUUCGUGGGGGAUAACGUAGGGAAACUUACGCUAAUACCGCAUACUACCUACGGGUGAAAGCAGGGGAUCUUCUGACCUUGUGCGAUUGAAUGAGGCGAUGUCGGAUUAGCUAGUUGGCGGGGUAAAGGCCCACCAAGGCGACGAUCCGUAGCUGGUCUGGUAGGAUGAUCGGCCACACUGGAACUGAGACACGGUCCAGACUCCUACGGGAGGCAGCAGUGGGGAAUAUUGGACAAUGGGCGCAAGCCUGAUCCAGCCAUACCGCGUGGGUGAAGAAGGCCUUCGGGUUGUAAAGCCCUUUUGUUGGGAAAGAAAAGCAGCAGGUUAAUACCCCGCUGUUCUGACGGUACCCAAAGAAUAAGCACCGGCUAACUUCGUG
rnacentral:rRNA from 1 species